AUUGAACGCUGGCGGCAUGCUCUACACAUGCAAGUCGAACGGUAACAGGCCGCAAGGUGCUGACGAGUGGCGAACGGGUGAGUAAUGCAUCGGAACGUGCCCAGGCGUGGGGGAUAACUACUCGAAAGAGUAGCUAAUACCGCAUACGAGCUAUGGAUGAAAGCGGGGGACCGUAAGGCCUCGCGCGAUUGGAGCGGCCGAUGUCAGAUUAGGUAGUUGGUGGGGUAAAGGCUCACCAAGCCAACGAUCUGUAGCUGGUCUGAGAGGACGACCAGCCACACUGGGACUGAGACACGGCCCAGACUCCUACGGGAGGCAGCAGUGGGGAAUUUUGGACAAUGGGCGCAAGCCUGAUUCAGCAAUGCCGCGUGCAGGAAGAAGGCCUUCGGGUUGUAAACUGCUUUUGUACGGAACGAAACGGCUCUGGUUAAUACCCGGGGCUAAUGACGGUACCGUAAGAAUAAGCACCGGCUAACUACGUG
rnacentral:rRNA from 1 species